UUUUUAUGAUGAGAAGUUUCAUUAUUAUACAGUUAUCCCUGUCUUAACAAAUCAUGUCGAGGAUUACUACACUCUGAAUCACAA
rnacentral:snoRNA from 1 species